rnacentral:lncRNA from 1 species
AGGGAUGGUGGAUGGAUAGGGUGAUAGGGAAGGUGGGGAAGGUGGGGAUGAAGAUGAUGGAGGUUGGGUGACAGGGGAAUUGGAAUUUGGAGUUGGGGCAUAGGGGUAGGGUGAUUGAGAUGUUGGGGAAGGAGUGUUUGGAGGUGACGGAAUGUAGGGAGGUUGGGAAAUGGGAGAAGGAGUGGUGGAUGGUGGUGUGGAAAUGUAAGAAGGUGGCUGGGAUAUUGGGGAAGGAGUGGUGGAUGGUGGUGUGGAAAUGUAAGGUGGCUGGGAUAUUGGGGAAGGAGUGGUGUUUGGAGGUGAUGGGAUGUAAGGAGGCUGAGAUAUUGGGGAAGGAGUGUUUGGAGGUGAUGGGGUGUAAGGAGGCUGGGAAGUAGGAGAAGGAGUAUUGGGUUGUGGAGGCACAUAAGGUGACUGAGAAAAGGGUGAUGGGGUUAUUGGAACAAAGGGUGGUUGAUGAUGAGGGGAAGGGGUGUUUGGAGGUAGAGGAGCAUGGGGUGGAUGGUUAUUAGGGGAAGGAGCAUAAGUGGGAGAAGGUGUGUUGGGAGGUAUGGGAGCAUAGGGUGGUUGAGCUUUGGGAGGAAAGGGAAGAUUAGUAGGAGGUGAAGGUGCUUCUGGAGGAGUAUAAACAGGGGGAGGAGUUUGAUGAGGUGGAUAAGGAGCUUUUGGAGGAGAAUAUGGAGGAGGCUCUCUCACAGCCAACACCACAAUAAUAAGUUUCUGACCCUUCUCACAAUUAUAAUCUUUUCCACUGAUGAAAUAAAAGGGACCCGAACGAUCAAACUGAAACUGGGAGGCACCAUCCUCAAACUUCUUGAUCGGGUUCUUCUUGUUACAUUUCUCAUAAUCCUCUUUGUUCACCACCAAAACCGAGUCCGAUCC